rnacentral:rRNA from 1 species
GACGAACCGUGCGAACGUUGUUCGGAAUCACUGGGCUUAAAGGGCGCGUAGGCGGCCAGGCACGUCUGGGGUGAAAUCUUUCGGCUUAACCGGAAAAGGGCCCCGGAUACGGCCUGGCUCGAGGGGGAGAGGGGCGGACGGAACUUCCGGUGGAGCGGUGAAAUGCGUUGAUAUCGGAAGGAACGCCGGUGGCGAAAGCGGUCCGCUGGAUCCCUUUCUGACGCUGAGGCGCGAAAGCCAGGGGA